AGGGAUCAUUACCGAGUUUACAACUCCCAAACCCCUGUGAACAUACCUAUCGUUGCCUCGGCGGUGCCCGCUCCGGCGGCCCGCCAGAGGACCCCCAAACUCUUGUUUUAUACAGUAUCUUCUGAGUAACACGAUUAAAUAAAUCAAAACUUUCAACAACGGAUCUCUUGGUUCUG
rnacentral:misc_RNA from 1 species